UCUGGUUGAUCCUGCCUGAACUGAUGUGCUUAUCUCAAAGAUUAAGCCAUGCGUGUCUAAGUAUAAACGUUCUAAACGUGAAACCGCGAAUGGCUCAUUAAAACAGCUAUAAUUUACUUGAUCUUGACACAAUCCUACUUGGAUAACUGUGGUAAUUCUAGAGCUAAUACAUGCAUUAAAGCUCUGACCUCACGGGAAGAGUGCAUUUAUUAGAACAAAACCAAGCGGCUUCGGCUGUUUUCGGUUGACUCAUAGUAACUGAGCUGAUCGCGUGGUCUUGCACCGGCGACGUGUCUUUCAAGUAUCUGCCGUAUCAACUUUCGAUGGUAGUGUAUCUGACUACCAUGGUGAUCACGCGUAACGGAGAAUAAGGGUUCGACUCCGGAGAGUUCGCCUGAGAAAUCGCGAACACAUCUAAGGAAGGCAGCAGGCGCGAAAAUUACCCACUCUCAGCACGAGGAGGUAGUGACGAAAAAUAACGAGACCGUUCUCUUUCGAGGCCGGUCAUCGGAAUGGGUACAAUUUAAACCCUUUAACGAGUAUCUAUGAGAGGGCAAGUCUGGUGCCAGCAGCCGCGGUAAUUCCAGCUCUCAAAGUGCAUAGAAUUAUUGCUGCGGUUAAAAAGCUCGUAGUUGGAUCUGUGCCAUAGGACGGGGUCUUUCCUAACGGAUUUGUACUUCGCUCCUAGGCUUUUCAGUCGGUUUUCCCGUAAUUGCAUUCAUUUGUCGUUGCGGGUGGCUGACGAGUUUACUUGAGAAAAUCAGAGUGCUCAAUACAGGCGUCUAGCUUGAAUGAUUGUGCAUGGAAUAAUAGAAAAGGAUUUCGGUCCUCUUUUAUUGGUUUUGUGGACUGAGAUAAUGGUUAACAGGGACAAACGGGGGCAUUCGUAUCGCUGCGUGAGAGGUGAAAUUCUUGGACCGUAGCGAGACGCCCUACUGCGAAAGCAUUUGCCAAGAAUGUCUUCAUUAAUCAAGAACGAAAGUCAGAGGUUCGAAGGCGAUCAGAUACCGCCCUAGUUCUGACCGUAAACGAUGCCAACUAGCGAUCUGCCGGUGGAUUUUUAGCCCUGGUAGGUAGCUUCCCGGAAACGAAAGUCUUCCGGUUCCGGGGGAAGUAUGGUUGCAAAGCUGAAACUUAAAGGAAUUGACGGAAGCGCACCACCAGGAGUGGAGCCUGCGGCUGGAUCAGUA
rnacentral:rRNA from 1 species